rnacentral:rRNA from 1 species
CGUUUAGGGGUAAACCUGAGAAACCCGAAAGGUCGAAGGGAGAAAUUCAUUCGCGUUUCGUGGCAGGCAUUAAAUGGAUUGUGUGACGAGGAAGUUUUAAUUUCCUUGCAUCAUCUGUUUAUUUGAACCGGCUACGAACGUGUGCACUUUUCUCCUGGUAGGACGUCGCGAUCCGUCGAGUGUCGGUCUACGACUUAUGGUGGAGACCAUUUGUUAUAUUUCUAUAUAAUAAAUGGACCUAUUUGUUCUGGCCGACUUGCUCAACGGUAUAUACGAACGGUUUGGGGCCGCUCUUUGAGCGUUCGGCUCGUUGCAAGCGCGCUAGAUGUUUGUCGACAAUCGGACUUAGUGCCGGUUUCGGCCUCUAGUGACUGUUGGCAACGAUGUUCUCGAACAGACCUCGAUUUUGUCUUGUACAAAAUUUUAAAAACUGAUCGGCGACGCUAUAGCUUUGGGUACUUUCAGGACCCGUCUUGAAACACGGACCAAGGAGUCUAGCAUGUACGCGAGUCAUUGGGUUAUUACGAAACCUAAAGGCGUAAUGAAAGUAAAAAUCUUUCUUGUAAAGAUUUAGGGAAGACGGGUGGGUGACUUGUCACUUGCUCUGCAUUCCCGGGGCGUCUCAUUCUCAUUGCGAGAAGAGGCGCACCAAGAGCGUACACGCUGGGACCCGAAAGAUGGUGAACUAUGCCUGGUCAGGACGAAGUCAGGGGAAACCCUGAUGGAGGUCCGUAGCGAUUCUGACGUGCAAAUCGAUCGUCGGAACUGGGUAUAGGGGCGAAAGACUAAUCGAACCAUC